rnacentral:rRNA from 1 species
CAGCACCUCAAGUGGUCAGGAUGAUUAUUGGGCCUAAAGCAUCCGUAGCCGGCUCUGUAAGUUUUCGGUUAAAUCUGUAUGCUCAACAUACAGGCUGCCGGGAAUACUGCAGAGCUAGGGAGUGGGAGAGGUAGACGGUACUCGGUAGGAAGGGGUAAAAUCCUUUGAUCUAUUGAUGACCACCUGUGGCGAAGGCGGUCUACCCGAACACGUCCGACGGUGAGGGAUGAAAGCUGGGGGAGCAAACCGGAUUAGAUACCCGAGUAGUCC